rnacentral:lncRNA from 1 species
UUUUAAUAUUCAGUAUUUUCGGACUCAGCAGGCAGCAGGCUAAAUCUGUCCGCUGAUGGGCAGGCAUGAAUUAUGAAACCACUCACACAGGUUGAGAGGUUGCCCUGAGCUGGGGGGGUGCUGCCCCCAGUGUCUGCUCAAGGUGGUUGGGGGAUGGAUUGCUCCCUACUCAGGAAAGAAGGGGGAAUAUGAACAGGAAGUGGGCUGUGCAGGGUGGAGGUGCCCUAGUGUCAGGCUGAAGGCUGGGAGCCGACAUCUAAUCAUCAAAAUGAUGGAACUCUGAGGGCUGAAGGGAUGUUAAGGCACUGAGGACCACAGCACUUGUUCUCAUCAACAUCAUCAUCAGCAUCAGCAUCAUUGUCACCAUAACCAGCAUCAUUGGCAUCAGCAUAAUCAGCAUCACCACCCUCAUCAUCAUCAGUAGCAUCAAUAUCACCAUCAUCAGCAUCACCAUUAUCAUCAUCAGCAGCAUCAGUAUCACCAUCAGCAGCAGCAUCAGCAUCAUCAGCAGCAUCAGCACCAUCAGCAUCAUCAGCAGCAUCAGCAGCAUCAGCAACAUCAGCAUCAUCGUCAUCAGCAUCAUCAGCAGCAUCACCACCAUUAUCAGCAGCAGUAUCACCAUCUAACAUUUUUUGAGGGUUUCAGAUGCACAAGGCACUGGGCUGAUUGCUUUACAUGCGUUGUUUCAUUUGUUCCCAACAAUGACAGCCCGCAAAGUUAAGUAUUAUUAUUGUUAAUAUCCUCAUUUACAGAUACGUAAACUGAAACUUAGAGAGAUUAAGCAACUUGCUUAGGGCCACAGAGCUAUGUGAAGUGCAAUUUUCAAAAAUGUAAAUCACAAUUCUCAGGAAAAUAUAAAAUGAUACCAUGUCAAAGAUUUUAUUUAACUCAAUAAUUAAUGAGAGAACCAAUAAGAAGUUAAAACUUAUUCAAAGAGCAUUAGAGAAUUUAGAUAUAUGCAGGCAAUUCAACAGCAAAAAAUAAGGCAAGUAUGAUAGGUUAAAUUAUGUUCCCUCUGGAAAAAAAUCUAUCCUGAUCCCUGGAAUUUGUGAAUAUGUUACUUAUGUUACUUUACAAGUAGAAAGGAUUUUACAGAUGUGAUUAAAUUAUGGGUUUUUAAUCACAUCUGUAAUGGGGAGAUUAUUCAGGAUUAUCUGGGUAGGUCCAAUGUAAUCACAUGCAUUCUCAUAAGAGGGAGACAGGAGUGUCAACUGAGAUGGAAGAUAUAAGAACAAAAGCAGAGAUUGGAGUGAUGUGCUUUAAAGAUGGAGGAAGAGGCCAUAAGCCAAGGAAUAUAGGUUAUCCCUAGAAGCUGGAAAAGAGAAUAAAACAAAUCCUUUUCUAGAGCCUCUAGAAGAAAUGGGCUCUGCUUACACCUUGAUUUUAGCCCAGUGAAACUGAUUUUGAACUUCUGACAUCUAGUACUGUAAGAUAAUAAAUUCGCAUUAUUUUUACACCCUAAGAUGUGUUACAUUGUUAUAUCAGCAGUAGAAAUUUAAUACCAAAAGAUUACUGGGUGAGAUAGAAAGCUAGUAAAUGUCCAACCGGGCUAUCAAUUGUAACCCUUGGAGCUAAUUCUUCCACCAGAGUUAAAUUAUUUGCAUCUUUGUGGGACCAAAAUUUACAAAUAAACCUCUGCCGUUAUGGAGAUGAAAUUUGACUGGUCAGUAGAAAGCCC